rnacentral:rRNA from 1 species
CACGUCGAUAGGAGGCGUGUGGAAGGGCGGCAACGCCUGAAGCUAAGCCUUACUAAUCGCUCGAUCGGCUUGAUCUCUC